rnacentral:piRNA from 1 species
UACGCCUACAUGCUGGACGUCUACGGCUC